rnacentral:rRNA from 1 species
UACGAAGGGUGCAAGCGUUGUUCGGAAUUACUGGGCGUAAAGCGCGCGUAGGCGGGUCUAUAAGUAGAUUGUGAAAGCCCUGGGCUUAACCCGGGAAUGGCAGUCUAAACUGUAGAUCUUGAAUGUCUGAGAGGAUGGCGGAAUUCCCGGUGUAGUAGUGAAAUACGUAGAUAUCGGGAAGAACACCUGAGGCGAAGGCGGCUAUCUGGCGGUACAUUGACGCUGAUGCGCGAAAGCGUGGGGAGCAAACAGG